rnacentral:sRNA from 1 species
GCUGGGUGUGGUGGCACAUGCCUGUAAUCCUAGUGGCUUGGGAGGCUGAGGCAGGAGGAUCACAAGUUCAAUGCCGGCCUCAGCAACUCAGUAAGAUCCUAAGCAACCUAGUGAGAUCCUGUCUCAA